GGUUCAGGAUGAACGCUAGCUACAGGCUUAACACAUGCAAGUCGAGGGGCAGCAUGAUCAAAGCUUGCUUUGAUUGAUGGCGACCGGCGCACGGGUGAGUAACGCGUAUCCAACCUUCCCUAUAGUAGUGGAUAGCCCGGCGAAAGUCGGAUUAAUACACUAUGUUAUUCAACGAGGACAUCUGAAAUGAAUCAAAGGCUUGCCGCUAUAGGAUGGGGAUGCGUCUGAUUAGAUAGUAGGCGGGGUAACGGCCCACCUAGUCGACGAUCAGUAGGGGUUCUGAGAGGAAGGUCCCCCACAUUGGAACUGAGACACGGUCCAAACUCCUACGGGAGGCAGCAGUGAGGAAUAUUGGUCAAUGGACGGGAGUCUGAACCAGCCAAGUAGCGUGCAGGAUGACGGCCCUAUGGGUUGUAAACUGCUUUUAUACGGGGAUAAAGUGAGCCACGUGUGGCUUUUUGUAGGUACCGUAUGAACAAGGACCGGCUAAUUCCGUGCCAGCAGCCGC
rnacentral:rRNA from 1 species